CCAAAGAAGAAGAAGUACAGGAAAUUGAGAAGAAUCUUGUUAAAAUUUGCGCAAGACAGGGACUUGAAGUUGUGCUUGAGGGGAUCAAGGAAAUGCAGGAAGACCUUGAACAAGUCCAACGUCAUCUUUGUGCCUUGCAAGAGGA